rnacentral:rRNA from 1 species
AUGUCGUCUUCCUCCCGAGUAAGGGUUGGGACUCUGGUUCCCUUUGCUGAAGGCAAAUCUGGUUCGCCGAAUGCGUCGCCGCCAAUGCCAAGCAUUCCCAUCCUUGAGGGCUCCAAUGUCGUCGGGAGGAGUAAUUUGGUGGCUGUUGACAAGAGGGUCAGCCGCAAGCAUUUGAGCUUGCGCGCCUUGCCUGAUGGCUCCGUCGAAGUCGUCGUGGAGGGGCCAAAUCCCAUUGUUGUCCGAUCAGAGGGUCAGAGAAGAAAAGUUUGUGCUCAGCAGAAAGCCAAGGUUAUGCACGAUGAUGUCCUGGAGCUGAUUCCCGGUGAAUAUUUUAUGAAGUAUGUCAAUACGAGCGAUGAGCGUAAAAGUUCCACAUCAGUCGAAUCACAUGACUUAAAAAAAGGGAAGAGGCAUAGCGAGGAAGAUAGUGUAGCUGCAAAGAGAAAUCGACAAGUUAUGGAAGAUGAGGCUUUGGCAAGAACUUUGCAGGAAAGCUUUGCAGAAGAGAGUACAUCUGUUACUGAAGUAUUAAGUUCACUUGAUAGUGUUGGUUCUUCCGAGAGAAACAAAGAGAGAACGGAUUCUGUCGGUCCUUUGAAAGAUGUACUUCCGUUGACUUUUCGACUCAUGCGUGUCCAAGGUCUUCCAUCAUGGACUAACACUUCAACAGUUACCAUUCAGGAUGUCAUACAGGGUGAAGUGCUUCUUGCUGUACUCUCAAAUUAUAUGGUGGACAUGGAUUGGUUGCUUACUGCAUGUCCAAGUCUAAGGAAAGUUCCACAUGUCCUAGUUCUUCAUGGAGAGGAUGGUGCUUCAUUGGAGCACUUGAAGAAAACGAAGCCUGCAAAUUGGAUCCUUCACAAGCCCCCGCUCCCAAUAUCAUUUGGAACACAUCAUUCGAAGGCCAUGCUGCUUGUAUAUCCUCAAGGAAUUCGCGUUGUUGUUCACACUGCAAAUUUGAUACAUGUUGACUGGAAUAACAAAAGUCAGGGACUAUGGACACAAGAUUUUCCCUGGAAGGAAGCAAAUGAUAUGAGUACAAAUAUUGGUUUUGAGAAUGACCUGGUUGAUUAUCUCAGGGCACUUAAGUGGCCUGAGUUCAGGGUAAAUCUCCCAGUUGCUGGUGAUGUCAACAUCAAUGCAGCAUUCUUUCGGAAAUUUGAUUAUAGUAGCUCAACGGUCAGGUUGAUCGGAUCUGUUCCUGGUUAUCAUGUCGGACCCAAUAUGAAAAAGUGGGGCCAUAUGAAGCUUAGGAGUGUUCUUGAAGAAUGCGUAUUUGAAAAGCAGUUUUGCAAGUCACCACUUAUUUAUCAGUUUUCGUCCUUGGGGUCACUUGAUGAGAAAUGGAUGAGUGAAUUCGCAUGCUCGUUAUCAGCUGGUAAAGCAGAUGAUGGAUCACAGUUGGGUAUCGGGAAACCACUGAUUGUCUGGCCAACAGUGGAGGAUGUUAGGUGCUCAAUAGAGGGUUAUGCAGCUGGCAGUUGCAUUCCAAGUCCUCAAAAGAAUGUUGAGAAAGAUUUCUUGAGAAAAUAUUGGUCCAGGUGGAAAGCAGACCACGUAGGCCGUUGCCGUGCUAUGCCGCACAUAAAAACUUUUACUCGCUACAAUGGUCAAAAUAUUGCAUGGUUUCUGCUUACCUCAUCAAAUUUAAGCAAAGCUGCUUGGGGAGCACUGCAGAAGAACAAUUCACAGCUGAUGAUACGAUCAUAUGAGUUAGGUGUAUUGUUCUUGCCCAAAACUCUCCAGUCUGUUCCACAAUUUUCAUGCACAGAGAAGAGCCGCUCAAACCUGGAUAAACUUGCCCUUGGUAAGAACAUCAAGACCAAGCUGGUGACACUUUGCUGGAAAGGCGAUGAAGAAAAGGAUCCAUCUGCAGAAGUUGUGAGAUUGCCAGUGCCAUAUCAACUCCCUCCACAACUCUACGGCCCGGAAGAUGUCCCAUGGUCGUGGGAUCGGAGGUACACGAAGAAGGAUGUGUAUGGUUCAGUCUGGCCACGCCAUGGCUAG